CACGCAGGCGGACUUUUAAGUGAGGUGUGAAAGCCCCGGGCUUAACCUGGGAAUUGCAUUUCAGACUGGGAGUCUAGAGUACUUUAGGGAGGGGUAGAAUUCCACGUGUAGCGGUGAAAUGCGUAGAGAUGUGGAGGAAUACCGAAGGCGAAGGCAGCCCCUUGGGAAUGUACUGACGCUCAUGUGCGAAAGCGUGGGGAGCAAACAG
rnacentral:rRNA from 1 species